UGUCUUUGUAGAAAGAGAACUUCUGUCAGGAAAGAAUUUCUUACAUCACAGACUUGCUGAAGCAACCAGUCCUUAUUCAGGACUGCUUACAGUUCAGUUGGCCAACCGGAAUCUCUACAUCUUAACCAAUGAACCCAGCCCCUGGGUGAAAAUAACAGUAACCCACAAGUUGUUAGAAAGGGACUCUGAAUCUCCAGCUCCUGGAGACCUCUAGACUUGGGAAUACUUGUGGUUGGGCCUCCAAGUUUCCUAUGACUGCCUCUACCCUCUGUGAACUGCUCUUACAGAAGACCAGAGGGGACAGUCUCUGGAUCCAGAACUGCAGUCCUCCUGACGACAGUAAACAUGGGUAGUAAAUGACUGAACCAUACUGAGGAUUUGCUAGGAUCAGGGCUGUGAAACUGAGCAUCUAUUCUGACCCACCCUGGCCAUAGCUCUGCGAGGUAAGCACUGUCCUGAUCCACAUUUCACCUUACUGACAGAAGAGGUGCUGCAGACAUGACCAGAUAGAGUACUUACAGAGUACUUAUCACUUAGUGCCACAGCAUGCUAAAUGCUAUGCUUAUGUGAACUUACCCUCGCCACAAUUCCACAAGACAGGUGCUUUUGUGGUUCUAUUUUAGAGACUAGUGAAAAGCCAAAGAGCUACUGUGUGUUGCUCAGGCUUCCCCAGGCUUGAAUGCAGUGCUAGCAAGAGCUCCUGCUUAGGAGGGUGAACAUCAAGCCCCAAGUCAGGUCUCUAUCAGAAAGGGAAACUGACAGUGUCCAACAGGAUGUCCUAAGCCUAAACCCAGGGUCCCUCUUGUUCUGGUUGGGAAGGCUUCUAAAUUAUCCCCAAAGGCAUAUUUUAAAAGUCCUAUCCACAAACCAUUUCUAGAACCUGCUUUGGUCUGGCUUUUAGGAAGCCUUCAUGGGACUCUAGUGUAGCAUACACCGUAUUGGUAAGAGACCAAUUUGUAAGAGGACCCAUUACAUAGAGUUUACACAUGGCCCCAUGCCCACAGGUAGGUGGUUUUUUAUUAUUAAGAUGAUAAAUUAGUGAUGCAAGUCACUCCCUGCAAUAAUAUUAUAUGCUAGAAAUAAAGUGCACAUUAUUCAGAGUCCCUUGGUGUUAUCCUCAGGUCUCUUUUCUGUUUCUAUCUAGGGCACCACCCUAAUUUAGCUGCCGUGCCGCCUAAGUUCCUAUCACUGAGACUGUGUUUUCUUUAUGACCUUGACUGCUUUGGAGGUCACUAGUUGGGUAUAUUGUAGGGUUUAGCUGCUCUCUCUUGUCUAGGUUUAGCCGGAGAACUCCAGGGCUACUGGGAGGAAGGCCACAGAGUUGAUAAACAGCCAUCCUUAGAGCAGCUUAUCAAGGAGUGCCCAUAUUUGCAACAUGACUGAACACAGUUGAUACCGGCCUUGCUCUUUUGGCUAGGUCAGGGUUUGUCCCUUUUUGCCACCAAGGUCAUUUUUGUCCUCCCACUGUGUUGGACUCUUAAAGCAUUGAAUUAAGGGCCUGGAAACAGCUAGGUAACCAUGGGAACCCGAGUUUGGAUCUCCAACAACAAGGUGCAGUACCACAUUGAUAAAGGACAAGACGCAUGCCAAGUAUUAUGCUAAACACUCAGAGUGAAUGUGUGAAUAUGUCCCAUCAUUGCAAAAGCCCAGCAAGGUGGGUACCUUGAAGAGUCCCAUUUACAGAGCCAAAGUUUGGUGAGGUUAAAGAAGCCACCUAGAGUCACUCAGUGAUUUCAAGGAGAGCCUGGAUCCAGUCCUUACCUGACCCCGGAGUUCUGCUAUACGCACUGCUGUCUGACAGAAAAAAAAUACACAUCAUAUGUGUAUUUUAUGUUAUGUUUUACAUCUUUUAGUUCAGAGACAGUUAGCUCAUGAAGGCUUUGACUUAAUGAAUGGAUUAACUCUGGGUGGACAUUGUGGAGAAACUGUGAAUAGUUGUAAGUGGGGCUUAGUUGAAAGAAAGGGGUCACUUCGAAGGUACGUCUUUGGGGACUAUGUCACACUGUACUCCUUCUUGUAUUCUUCGGUUCCCCAUUUCCUUCCUGUUCACCAUGAUCUUACCGCUGUAAUGAUCUGGAGUACAUGGUGCAAACCCUCACAAACCAGGAAGUAAAGCAGAUCUGCUCUCCCUAAACUGUUCACACCAGGCACUAAGUCACACAGCCACGAGGGAAGUAAAGACCGUAUGCAAGACCGACAAAGGUAAUGAACUCCAAAGGCACAUUCAGGAUGUGCUGGAAGUUUAACAUUUAGAGUUUUGAUUUGCCAAAGAGUUUGCCCUCAAAGAGCCCAUUCCUGAAACCUUCUGCAGUCCAGACUUUGACUUCAUUAUAUAUGGCAUGUGUAAUUUACAUACGCUCUGAGCAAAUAAAUGAAUGUGUGAAUAUGUUCUCUUCCAGAGACGGAGAAAGACUCUUAGGCGAGGAAGAUGGUAAAUUCCAGAAGGGCAUGUAUUGUACCUGAUUUUUACCUAGCAGAUAAAGGAUGAACAGCCUGUGAAUCAAGAUCCUACUUUGGGUGACACUGGUCAGAGCCAUAGGUACAGAUGAAGACUCUACACUGUGGGCAGUGACCUGUUUCAUGAAAGUGUGGCAAGCAGAAGCAAACUGAAGAUUAGUGUUCUGUGAUUCUACCACACACCUGAUGCCACAAGAACAUGGUCUAAUUCACUGUGGUGAAUACAUUGUCACGUGUAAGCAAGACACCCACGACUCUGGUUUGCCAGACAUCAGUAUUUGCCAUGUAUAGCCGCAAAGAAGAAGGCAUCAGAUGGACUGUCUUUCCAUUGCUCUUCUAGGGUAAUUGUCUCCCUUCAUUUCCUUCCUUUAUCCCUUUCAUCUCUCCUUUGAUCCUCUUGGUAUAGCCACCCCUCUCCUUCACUGUCCUCCUUUCCUUCUUUCCUCUUCACCUCCUUCUGGUUUUGACCGCUGCUUCAGCCCCAAGGAAUUGAGAGUCCUGAGUUACAGCUCUUGCAGUCCCUUAAGUGAGUUGCUUUCCUCGUUUCUUUCAGCUCUCUUUGCUCCCCUGAAAUGUCAGAAUGACCAAGCCUCUUGCUAACUUCAGUGGUUAGGGGUCAAAGACAUUCUGUAGGUAUAAUGUUCCUCACAGAUAAAGGUGUUUCUGGAUAAAAGUGGGAGACAAAUCUAUUUUUUAUUUCAUGGGU
rnacentral:sRNA from 1 species